GAGGGAAGGGAGGGAAGGGAGGGAAGGGAGGGAAGGGAGGGGGGCCCCCACGGCCCAGCAUGGCCGAGCCAGAGCACUAGCCAAGAGUCGGCAGCUUUGUUCCAGGUGCCGGCUCCCUUUUUUUCAUUAGGCUAAUGGGAUGCGGAUGCAUUAUUCCAUUCCACAUGCUGCUAAUGAACCACUCAGGCCAGUGCAUUUGCAUUAAUGUGCAAAGCACUGGAGGAGGGUGGAGUGGCUGCAUCUGGCCAAGGCUGACCUUCCCUGCACCGCCCAGCCUCCCCCAGCCGCGCUGCGCUCCCACCACUCUCCCACCACCCCACCGGACCCAGGAACUCCUCGGGGUGGCUCCGACCCACAUUCCAGGACACCAUAACCAGCCCUCAGCCACCUCAUACUCGCUGCCCACGUUGUCCUCUUGCCCGUACCAUGCCUGGCCAACUCCACCGCUCCUUCCCAUAUGAAUCACGGAUGGUGCCCCCCUGCCAGUGCCCCACUCUGUACCCCGUCCCCAGUGCACAAGUGACCACAGCAUUGCUCCUGCACUCCCCAAAUGCGAUCAUUCCCACCUCCUGCAUGGAAGCCUGCUCGGCACGUCCCUCCUCCCUGGUUACUUCUACUGGGACCUCCCAGCACCACCCCAGGGCUCCUUUCCAACAGCCCAGGGGAGCAGGGGGACUCUCCCAAGCCCCCCCACCCCAGAGCUGGCAGGCAGCACCGGGCGCGGGCGUCACUGGAGCCCUUGGGUUGUUUGUUACAGCUCCCAACUGCCUCUGUCCCCGGAGAGGUUUCGAAGGCGAGUGACCCACGAACUGGAAUGUGCAAAGCCUCCAGCAAACAGAGCCAGCUGCCUGCGCCCGCGCAGGGGGGGUGAUGAGGGGAGAGCAGCCAGCCCCGGCACGGCACGGCACGGCACAGCACGGCCCCGACACAACUGCACAGCCCUGAUGUCCUCCCAAAGCGGGCAGCACCUGGCUGAGCCUGUUUUUUGGCAGCACAUGGCCUCCCAGAGCUGUGCUGGGAUCAUGCUUCGCCCCUCGCCUGUUUGCAAGACACAAGUCCUUAGGUGGCUGAAGGACCUUUAGGACACGGGACAACCCCAUGGCAGCAGCAGCCCCUGGCCCUGGUCUUUGCCACCUCCCCAGGUGCCAGGGGGCUCCCUGCUGGAAUCAGCGUGGGUGAGCAGAGCUCUGGGUGCCCCGGCUGGGCAUGGCAGGGUGUCAGCAGCUCCGUGCCCGGCCGGUGUGCGAAGCCCCGCACUGGAGCGCGUGCACGUGGGUGUCUGGGUUUGUCACAGCCCGGUGAGCAAGUUAAUCUCAGGCUCCCUGACACGUGGAAUAAAAUCGCGAUCCCA